rnacentral:lncRNA from 1 species
AUAGAUGCUCAAGGCUGACUAGUGUGAUCCAGAGCCUCCUCCUGGUUGCCUGCAGAAGACAGUCCCCUCCUGGCUACCUUCAGAUCAAGAUGUAGAGCUGUCAGCUCCUCUAGCACCGUGUCUGCCUGCACACUGCCAUGCUUCGUGCCAUGAUGGUAAUGGACUGAACCUCUGAAGCUGUAAGCCAGCCCCAAUUAAAUGUUUUCCUUUAUAAGAGUUGCCUUGGUUAUGGUGUCUGUUCAUGGCAAUAAAACUCAACUAAGACAGUAGGUGCUAGCUGAGUGUGAAAAUAAUGAAAACAGCUCCCAGAACUAUCUGUGUCAUAUCCUAGAAAUGUGGAUAUGCUAGAAACACACGGCCUAGAGUGACAACUUUAGAAUUCGCAAUUACAAAGAAGUAAGCGCAGAACCAAAUGAAUUAUUGUAUAAGGAAGAAGGAUGAGGUGUGAAGGAGCUUCGAGUUCCAGAAGAAUUUGAUCAGAACCCACCUCUGCACUUUCUCCGUCUCUGGUCAUGAGUUUCCAUAAGCUUCCUCCACAAGCCUGCAACUUCCUUCAGGGAGGUCACCAGGGAUUUACUGCUUCCUAGGCUUUCCUCCUCCAGGUAACAAUUUAUCACUGAGAAGUCUGGGCAGGAACUCAAGCAGGGCAGGAACCUGGAGACAGAAACUGGAGUAGAGGCCACAGAGGAGGAGUGGUUCUCACUGGAUUGCUUCCAGCUCAGUUUGCUUUCUCACAAAUCCCAGGAAGACCUGAUUUGUCUGCUGGAAGGAGUCGCCUGGAGCAGUAGACUGGGCAUUUCUACUUCAACUGUUAAUUAAGAGAACGCCCUACAGUUUUGCCUUCAAGCGAUCUGGAUGGAGGCAGUUUCUCAACUUCCUCUUCCUAGAUAACUUCGGCUGCUGUUUGUUGACGAGGGGGGAGGGGAGAGACGUGGACACGGAAGGACAGAUGACACGGGACAGCCCAAAACCAAAAUACCAAAACCAAACCAAAAACAACCAACCAAAUACACCCCCCCCCCCCCCAAAGAACACACACACAACAACAACAACAACAAUAACAAAACCUAACCAGGACACAGGAUAACACUAUGUAGCCCUUGCUGUUCUGAAACGCUCUAUGUAGGAAUAGGAUGGUCUAGAACUCAAGAGAUUUUCUUGCCUCUGCCCAUUGAGUACUAGGAUUAAAGGUAUGUGCCACCGCCCUUGGCUAGAGGCUAUUUUGAAAAAGAACAUUUCUGAACAAAGAUGCUUUUCUGGACAGUAUUUCAAAACUAUAGUUGAGUAAAUAAACACACUCUGUUUAAUGAGUCCCCCAAAGAGGUGUGGGAGAUGGGUUGAGGUUGAAGCUUUGGUGGUAGACCGGAUCAGUUGGAUAUUUGGCCUCGAAGUUGUAAGUCCCAAUCCAGGGCCAGUAAGAAUGCACUGUGCAGAGCCAAGGCUAAAGUAGCACCAGAUACUGUACUCUUAACACCUUCUACUGACAUUCUGUCGUCAGGAACCAGGUCUGUAGCCUGACCUUUUCCCUAAAAUCUAAUAAAUAAUCUCUAAAAGGUU